UACGAAGGGGGCGAGCGUUGUUCGGAUUUACUGGGCGUAAAGGGCGCGCAGGCGGCUCAUUUUGUCAGGCGUGAAAGCCCCGGGCUUAACCUGGGAACUGCGUUUGAUACGGAUGGGCUAGAGUUCGGGAGAGGAGAGUGGAAUUCCUGGUGUAGCGGUGAAAUGCGCAGAUAUCAGGAAGAACACCCGUGGCGAAGGCGGCUCUCUGGAACGCAACUGACGCUGAGACGCGAAAGCGUGGGGAGCAAACAGG
rnacentral:rRNA from 1 species